AGUACCCGGAGGAAGAGAAAGAAAAUUCGAUUCCCUUAGUAGCGGCGAGCGAAACGGGAAGAGCCCAAACCAACAAGCUUGCUUGUUGGGGUUGUAGGACACUCUAUACGGAGUUACAAAGGACGACAUUAGACGAAUCAUCUGGAAAGAUGAAUCAAAGAAGGUAAUAAUCCUGUAGUCGAAAAUGUUGUCUCUCUUGAGUGGAUCCUGAGUACGACGGAGCACGUGGAAUUCCGUCGGAAUCUGGGAGGACCAUCUCCUAAGGCUAAAUACUCUCUAGUGACCGAUAGUGAACCAGUACCGUGAGGGAAAGGUGAAAAGCACCCCGGAAGGGGAGUGAAAUAGAACCUGAAACCGUGUGCUUACAAGUAGUCAGAGCCCGUUAAUGGGUGAUGGCGUGCCUUUUGUAGAAUGAACCGGCGAGUUACGAUUUGAUGCAAGGUUAAGCAGUAAAUGU
rnacentral:rRNA from 1 species